CCGAGGGUUGGGGAGGCAAGGGAGGGAAGCACGUUCUGGAAGGACCCAGCGAGCCCAAACCCACGGAAUGAGUGCUGUUGGGCAGCAUCCAGUGCCGGCAAUGGGGAUGGGCGCCCAGUCCUGUCUGCAGCCGUGAGAGAGGGCACAGGGCUCCAGGAAGAGGAACCCGGGGGUGGCAGGGCCUGCCUGGGGCCGCCACCGUCUCCAGGACCUGUCCGUGUCUGGAUCAGGUCCUCCUGGUCCCCAGAGAAGCAAACUCAGGGCCAUAGAAGUCCCCUAACUGCCACAGACAGCGGUUGGAGGACGGAAUUCUUACGUGGGGUGGCUGUUGAGAAAGUAGGAACCGUGGCUUUGGGAGCCCUGGGACAGGACUGGACUCACAGAGGGAUCUCUCAGGAGGGUAAUCAUUCUCAUUGCAGACAAGUCGGAAUUUGAAAAGAGUACAGGAAAAACACCCAAACCCCAGCACCCAGAGGUCCCGUGGAGGCCUUGGAGCUGCUGACAGGGUGUGGGGGGCCUGGCCUGGUCUGGAGUAGCUGACAGAGGAGGGGCUGGCCGCGCUGGCCCUGCUCCUGCAGGUGUGAGAGAGGCUGCCCUCUGCCCUCUCAGGACCCACCCUCCUGGAGUGCCACGCGCCAUGGUAGCCGCACCCAGCGACGGCUUCCACUGCCCCUCCUGGCGGUCCAACCGCCUCUCGCCUGAGGCGCAAGAGCUGGACGUAGACCACUCAGGCAGGGUGGUGGCGGAGAAGCCCCUGCACAGCAGCCCACCCUGGGAGGAGGCCGUCGUCAGCAAGAUCAGGACCAUGUCAGUCUCGGAGAGGUGCCUCAUGCUGGAGUCCAUCCUCUGCUGCCUCCAGCAGCACAGCCAGCUUGUGCAGAAGGUGAAGGUGUCAUAUGCCAGUAUCCAGGAGGUCCUGGAGCCCUUGAACCUGGACUUCAGUUCUCUGGAGAAGUCCUUCCUCUUCCACUUGUACGGCGUGAUCCUCAGGGAGAGUGCUGACGCCAACAUGGUGAGGAAGCACGUGGUCCAGCUCCUCGAGCUGUCCCACCAGUCAUCCAGCGACCGGGAGGGUAUCUCGCUGGCCAUCGGCAUAACGUCCAGCUCUCACCUGGAGCAGGUGUGGGGCAGGCUGGAGCACCUGGGCCGCACCAGGUUCCUGAGGUCUGCCCCCCUGCCCCUGGAAAGCCAGCUGGAGCCAGACCUGCACUGGAGGUGGGUGAGCAGCACUGCCCUGCUGUGCUACGGGCAGAUGGCCAUGCACGGCGGGAAGCAGGUCCUGCCCUGGGUGGACAACAUCGCCUCCAGGAUGGUGUACUACUUCACCUGCAGCAGCCACGACAGCACCCUGAAGGCGAGCUUCCUCUCGGCCUCCAUCAUGCUGGUGAAGGCUCUCAGUCAGGAGAGCAGUGCCCGGAGCUACAAGUUCACGCAGACCCCGGAACUAAUCCAGUGUCUCCUGUGCAUCCUGGAGAAGGAGCCCAACUUCCUGGCCAACCUCUUCCGGCAGAAGAUCAUAUUGGUCAUCAUGGAGCUGAGCCACUUACGGCCCCGACUCAAACCCACGGUCAAGUCCAGAAUCUUGCAGACCUGCCUGCAGAGCUUGUACAACCUCCCACCCGUGGAGAUGCUGAAGACCAACUUGCCGCCGCUGGAGCUGGCCCCGGACGUUGUGGCACUGUACCAGAAGUCCAUGCAAGCGCUUGACCUGCUCCUCCAGGCCUUCAUCUCUGAGAAUGAGAGCAUGGAUGAAAUCUGCUUCCUCCUGCAGCACACGGAGCCCUGGCUGAAGUCAAGCAAAAGCUAUGAGCGGAAGCGGGUGGUGCAGUCCAUCUUCCUGCUCCUCAAGUAUGUGGCGGACUACGUGAAGCUCAGCGAGGAGGCCAUGCCCUCAGGGCUGGGCCGCCAGGUGGGCCUGCUGCUGCUGCUAUGGCGGGACAGGGACCAGCUCACCCAGAGCCACUCCCACCAGUGCGUCUACCUCUUUGUGCAGCUUCUGAUCCAGCAGAAGGGGAGCACGGCGGAGUUCAUGCAUCUGAAUAAAAUGAAGAACUUUGAAACAAAGGCUCACAAAGAUUCAGAGCUGAAGUUCUACAGUUUGGUGAAGACCUUGGACGAGCACCUCACGGUGGCGCAGCACACGCAGCUCGUGCUCACGCUCCUGCAAGGGCUGUGCAGCCACGACUCCCUCAACAGCCACCUGGCCUCGGAGCUGCUCCUGACCAUCAUGGAGGACCGCAGCAUCAAGCCAGAGCAGGUGGCCGAGAUCCUGCAGGAGCUGUUUCAGGAGCUGCCCUACAUCGUCUUCACGAGCAUCCUGCAGACCACGAUGAAGGCCGUGACGGUGCUGGGCACGCAGCACACGCAGCAGACCGUCGAAGUGAUGCUGUCCCUGUGCCCUCCCUCAGAGAGGCAGGUCAUCCCCCUGUGGAAGGCCCUGGCCACCAACAGCCGGCUGGCCCGCAAGGUCAUCACGCUGCUCUACAUGAAGCUGAAGCUGCGGCCCCCCCGAGAGCUCAUCAAGGUCCCGGUGCAGGCUGAGUUUGUUUCCCUGCUGGCCCUGAGCACCAUUUAUGAACUCCUCUACAUACAUGAGUACAAGGCCACGGUGCGCUGGGCCUUCGCAGGGAUCCUCCUGGGCCUUCUCACCCAGCUUCACUACCUGUUUGAGCUGGAUGUGGUGGAGGGCAUGUCCGACUACCAGGAGGAGGCCUUGGAGGCCAAGGCCCUCAGCCCCUGCAGGACAUGCCUGGAGGCUCUAAAGGGUCUCUUCUGGACCACCAAUUACUGGGAGGUAUUUGCCCACCUCAAGCUGCUAAGGGGCUGGGAGCUCUUUGAGCACCUGGAAACCUACACCGAAGGGGUGACCCUCCUGGCCAGGGCCAUGGCCCACUACGACUGUGAGGUCAAAGCGGUCUUGGGGCAGGCGGUCAUCUUCCUGAAGAGCCCUGAAGAACGGGACAACAUCGUAGCCAUCCUCAUCAUCACAGAGUUUCUCAGUGGCCAGGAGCUCACCCAGUACAUGUCUCGGAGAACCAUAGACAGCUUCCUGAACCUGGGCCUCAACAACCCCAACCCGCUGGUGAGGGCCAUGAGCCUAAAGGGCCUCAGCAGUAGCCUCAUGCAACCUCAGAAGGUGGUCCUGCUCCGGAACCAGUUGACCAGGCUGCUGGACAGCUUCCUGAAACCCCAGCCCCAGGACCUGCUGGGCCUGAUGGAGAUCCUGGGUGACGUCCUGCACCACCUGGGUGCCCAGGGCGUCGGCGCCGUCAGCGUCAAGAUGGCUCAGCACCUGCUGCCACUGUUUGAAGCCGUGAGGAACCUAGUGCCCAAGCCUGCCAAUCAGAACAGCCAGAGCCGCCACACCCCACGCCCACCCCCACUCCUGCCAAUCAGAGCAGCCAGAGCAGCGAACACCCUCCAAUCAGAGCAGCCAGGGCGACUAACUCCUACCAAGCCAGAGCCGCCACACACCGUCGCCCACCCCACCCCUACCAAUCAGCAGCCACAGCAGUGAACACCCUCCAAUCAGAGCAGCCAGGGCAGCUAACUCCUGCCAAUCAGAGCAGCCAGAGAGGUUAACCCCCUCCAAUCAGAGCAGCCGAAGCUGCUGCUCCUGGCGUCGUGGAUAACGUCCACAGGUGGAGCCCAGCGGGAACCUGGCCCAGGGCAGGACGGUUCUGUGAGGCCUUGAGGCUGCCUCAGAGAUAGUCAUCCUCAUUCCUCACCCAGAAGUGGCGGUGGGCUGGGAGCAGAGGGCAGGGCCCACCUAGGUUCACAUGUAGAGAAUGAGUGAGAGCAGGGUAAAUGGUUUCAGGGGUUCUGAAUAAAGGAGAGGCUUAAGAGUGGUGAGGCCUGAACUGAGGCAGGGCCGCUGGGCCACCAGAAGGACCUCAGGGACGGCGGGCACAGUCCUCAGGGACUGUGUGGUGGGGGGGGGGGUGGGUAGGCAGACUGCCACCGUUCACGCUGUGUCUAGGAGACCUCCAGGGCUGCUGUCCCAAGGUGGUCUAAUGAAGCUGGAGGAACUGGGGCGCAGAGUAGGAUAGUGGGGUUCAGCACUCAGUGUGGCCCAAGGACAAAGGCGCUAUUGUCAGCCCCUUGCCAUGAAAGGGGAAACUGAGUCAUGCACUGAAGACUUGCUCAGGGUCACAGGGCUAGCGGGUGACGGAGCCGGCUCCAGGGUCUGUGGUCUAACCCCCGUCCCAGUCUCCCUGGGACUUGGAGGUGUGGUUGCUGGCAGCCCAAGGCCCCCAGAAAAAUAGCACAGGAGAAACACCGGGGAGCAGGAGGGCGUGCGCAGCGGAGCCAUCUUCCUAUACGGAGAUGUCAUCUACAGCGGUGGCAAGAAGUUCCGGCAGGCGCUCAAGAGCCAUGCCUUCCAGGCCCUGGUGCCCUUGCUCUUCCACCUGGCCGACACCUGC